GAUUUCAGCGGCUUCUGAGGAGCGUCUUCAAAAGGCGGCCCCGCGGGGCUGAGGCGCGUUGCUGACGCCAUUGUUGGAAUUCCCGCCCGGAGGCCUCCGCAGGCACCUUGUCCUGUGAGGCAGUCAAGCCAGACAGAGCGCAAAGGAAGAAGGAAAGAAGGACAUACAGAUGGGGAGGAGACAACAGCAAAGCUUCUCAAGGUUAUAUCUCAGCUGCCAAAAAUGAGACAGUGUGAAGAACAGAAACCAAUGCCAUGAGCAGCCCCAGAUGAAUCCUGUGAUGGCUCGUCUGUGAGCAGAAAGAUGAUAGUUACUCUCUUGAGCCAUACAAGUACGAGGCUGGCCCCAAUCCUUCCCGAUAAGCAUCAAAUGGCGACAACUAGCUACAAGAAAUUCCUCCAGCAACAGAAUAAGUAUUGGCACGACAAGAAAUAAUCUACUGAUGGGAAUAGAGGCACUGAAAAUCAUCCCCUGACUAGUCAAUCCCAAAUUCACCUGCAAAUCCUCAUCCUGACACAAUCAGGAAGAUGUCAAAUGCAGGCACAUCAUGGACAGAUCUUGUACAUCUUUUCAGCAAUUCACCUUGGCCCUGAGCUAGAAGGAACUCCUGUUAGAGGAGGAAGAUGUGCCUAAGGUGAACCACCAGAGGACUACCUUAUAGGUGCUCAAGAUGCUCCAAUUGAUGGAAGUAUUCAAAGGUGAAGCCACAGAGCAUGGAAGUAAACACUUCAAAAUGAGAGCAUGAAAAUCUGGACUGACAUGGACGGGGGAUGGGAUUUUGUCUGAGAGGUUCACAUACUAAGAGGAAAAAAUAUGUCCACGGAUUCUUAGGUAAGUUCUAUAAUAUAAUUAUUUCUAAGAAUUACAUGAAGCCAAUUCUUACCUGGAGAAACGGUUGACUGUACCUGCUCCCCAUGAACUUCAACAACAACAACAAAAAUCUGUUAGAAAGAUAAUGAAACAAACUCUACUUUGGGUGAGAAAAAAAAAAAUAGGUAAUCACAUGCGAAGUUGAUUCCUUUCUAAGCCCUUAACACACGUUGGUUUAAUUCUCAGAACAACCUGGUAAGGUAAGUACAAAGUAUCCCAUUUUACAUAGGAGGAACUUAGGCUCAGAGAGUUUCAAUGUGUUUGUAAAGGUCAUUAUCUUAUCUAAAGUUAAGAGUCAGUAAGUGGCAGAGCCCAAAGUAAUACUGAGAUCUAACUAAUUCCUAAAUCUCUCUUACUUCAUGUCGCAUUUCUUUCUUCCAAAGUAAGUGGCUUUGUUCUGACUGCCCAGAGAUAUGCAUAUUCUGUAAUUACGGUCAGAUAUAGAAAAUGUUAACUCAUGUGAAGUUGAAAAGGUUUUUAAGAGGUAAAAUGUAUUUUUACAUGUCCUUUCGUUUGCUUAUGUGAUGUUUCUAAAACUUUCCCUGGGUUUAGAAUGUGUACCUUCCUAAUGUGGUUAAGACACAAUGGAACAUUGGUAAAUAAAGCUUUUAUUAGGCUCCUGUAAAGUGCCCUGGAGGGAAAAAACAUUCUCUGUGACACCAUCACUCUACUCUAUCCUCAGACAUUCUUGUCAUCUUAUUGCGCAGUUUCUGGACAGAUUUUAUAGUAGUCAUUAGUUCAGUUAUUGACACUCAAAGAAAAAAUUGGUAAUCCAAGUAGUUCAGGUAAUAAGUUUUAUAGUAAUUUUAUAAUAAAGUAACUGAUUUUUGUAACGAGUUAUGUAACAAAUUAGCUCUCUGAAGAAGUUAAACUUAAAAUCGAAACAUACAUUUAUUGAAAAAUCAGUAUGUUUAAAUAUGCUAUAAAAACAAAUUUGAUACAAUUAAAUUUGAUACAUUUUAAAAAUAUUUGAAUCUCAGUGAACUCAAAACUUCUGGCAGAUUUUUUCCUGACCCUAAAUUUUAUUAUUUAGAUCAUUGUCUAUAUUUCUACUCUAGGUCUGGUCUUUCAUGUCCUGACUAUGGCAUAAGGUUCAGUAAAUCGUUUGUUUGUUUAUAGUUGAUUUACAAUGUUGUGCCAAUUUCUGUUGUAUAGCAAAAUGACUCACUCAUACAUAUAUAUAUAUACAUACUUUUUAUAUUAUUUUCCACUAUGUUCUGUCUCAGGAGAUUGGAUGUAGUUCUCUAUGAUACACAGUAGGACCUUAUUGUUUAUCCAUUCUAAAUGUAAUAAUUUGCAUCUACCAACUCCAAGUUUCUAGCACUGCCCACUCCCUCCCUUCUGCCCCUGGCAACCACAAGUUUUUCUCUAUGUUUGUGAGUCUGUUUCUGUUUUAUAGAUAGGUUCAUUUGUGCUAUAUUUUAGAUUUUGCAUAUAAAUGAUAUCAUGGUAUUUGUCUUUCUCUUUCUGUCUUACUUUACUUAGUAGGAGAAUCUCUAGUUUUCACCCAUGAUGCUGCAAAUGGCAUCACUUCAUUCUUUUUUUUUGGCUGAGUAGUAUUCCAUUAUGUGUAUGUACCACAUUGUCUUAGUCCACUCAUCUGUCGAGGGGCACUUAAGUUGUUGCCAUGUCUUGGCUAUUGUGAAUAGUGCUACUGUGAACAUAGGGGUACAUGUAUUCUUUUUUUUUUUUGUCUUUUUGUCUUUUUCUACGGCCACACCCAUAGCAUAUGGAGGUUCCCAGGCUAGGGGUCUAAUUGGAGCUGUAGCCACUGGCCUACACCACAGCCACAGCAACGCCAGAUCUGAGCCAUGCCUGCGACCUACACCACAGCUCAUGGCAAUGCUGGAUCCCUAACCCACUGAGCAAGACCAGGGAUCGAACCUGCAACCUCAUGGUUCCUAGUCAGAUACGUUAACCACUGAGCCACAACAGGAACUCCACCUGUAUCUUUUUGAAUUAUAGUUUUGUCUGGAUAUAUACCCAGGGAUGAGAUUGCUGGCUUAUGUGGUAGUUCUAUUUUUAGUUUUCUGAGGAAUCUCCAUGCUGUUUUCUAUAGUAGUUGCACCAACUUACAUUCCCACCAACAUUGUAGGAGGGUUUCCUUUCCUCCAUACCCUCUCCAGCAUUUGUUAUCGGUAGAUGGACAUUCUGACUGGUUUUAGGCGGUACCUCAUUGCAGUUCUGAUUUGCAUUUCUCUAAUAAUUAACUAUGUUGAGCAUCUUUUCAUGUGCCUACAAGGCUCAGUAAAUCUUUAUUGAUAUCUACCUAUUUUAUUUGUCUGAUGGAGAAGCCAUGCUACACUAAAUUACACCAGAACAGGAAAGAGAAGAUCUCUUUGGAACUACUACAAUGAGGAAAUAACAUUGGAAACUAUUAAGCUUUUUUAAUUACUAGUUAAAAUUUAUUAAAGCAAGAACUUUGUCUCAUCCCAUAGGAUCUAAGAUAGUCCGUGGUACAAAGUAAGUCUUAGUGGCUGGUUUGUGUUACACAGUUCUGAAAGGUCUGUAAUUUGUGCAUAAUGGAGAUCUAUGAUUUCAUGGACUAAAAGAUUCUACUGUAUCUAAUCUUGUAGAGGUAAUAUUUUUCUUUGGAACAUUCUCUGGUUGAUGGUCUUCAACAACUUUCUACUCCUAUUCCAAUAAAAAUAAAUCAUAAGUGAAUAACAAUAUUAAAUUAUUCUUUAGUUUCCAUUACCAGGGAGCACUCUAAGCAAUAUAUGGAAACAUAAAAGGAAAAGGCAGUUUCUAAGUUAAUGACAAUUUAAACUAUGUAGCACUUUUAAGACAAAAAUUUUAAAAAUGCAGAUAUACAUUUAUAUAUAUUAAUGUUAUUUAUAUGUGUUUUAAUAUAUACUUUCUAAAGUAUUUGCAUUUUAAUCUGGUUCCUUCCUCUCUUCCUUUUUUAAAAUCUCUCAUUCUCCUCACAUGUGUAAACAGCAGAAAUAGGCAUGUGAGAAGUAUCACAAACCUGUAGACAUUUUCACUCACCUCUGUGAGUGAAUAAAUAGGGAAAGCACUUGUGUUUGCUGUACAUGUAUUACCUAUGAACUUGAACCAUAUAAAAUUGUACUUUUUCUAGAUUAAAAUGGUCAGAUAUUGACUAGUUCAUAGAGUUCAGGUAAUAUAUUACAAAUUUCGUUCCACUGGUGUUCUGUGAUAAUAAAAUAUUUCCUCCUCUUUUUUAUGUUUAAUGAAACUAUACUCAGUGUAUACAGAACUGCUCAUAAUUCUAAAGCUGAUUGGUAUUCUAUUUUCUGGUUUGAUUAACUCAAUCAGUUAAGACACUAUACUACUGAGCCAUUUAAUUUAUCAAUAAAAUAUCUGCAAAUGUGGGUUUUUAAUUACAAAGAAGAGCUAGUAAAGGGGUAUGGAUUUUUCCUUGUCCAUCCAAGGUUUAUUUCUCUUAUAGUAACUUCUUCCUCCAUUAUUUUCCCUAAUAUCCCGAAGUAUAAACUUUCAUCUCUCUCCAUUUAAUGCAAAUUUCAGCCCUCCUACCAACUCUUUACUGCUUAUUAGAGAAGUCAUGGCUCAGGAAAAAAAUUAAUAGUCCAUAGUUUGCACAUUUUUAAGAGUUUUUUUUUUCAAAACUAAAUUUAAAAAUGUGGUUGGAGGUGUUUUCAUAAGGAUAAAUGAAUUUCUUAAGACAUUUUCAUUGUAGCAUUUAUUAUUUUUUAUUUCUCAAAAUAUUUUCUUUAAAUUAUGCAUGAUGAUUAUGUUUAUGCAAAUAUUCCUAAAUAUGAUGCAAGUUAGUCCCCUAUAAUCCAUAUGCAUAAUAUAUCAUAAUUUUCUUUUGCUCCACUUGUCACAUUUAUAAUCAAAUACUUACUUGUAAUAUUAUUUUGAAUUAUAUAUUGAGAGAAAAUAUGUAUUCAUUAAUGAAGAUUUAUUAAUUAUGAAUUAAUUACUGCAGUAAAUACAGAAACUUUUACAGUGCCAGACACAUAAUAGGUGCUUAUACUUUCUGACUAAAUAUCUGGAUGAUUGAAAUAGUAUAGUAUAAAUCAAAAUACAAAGGCACAUAAUUGUGAAAUUGGAUCAUGAAAAUGCUAACUUUCUUGAGCAGGUAAAACUCAAAAAAAAAGGAAACACAAAUGGUUAAUAAUUCUACAAGAAAAGGUUAAACCUAACUAAUGAUUAAAGAAUUAUAAAUUAAAGCAACAAAAUGCCAUUUUUACUUAUCAGAUUGGCAAACUUUAAAAUGGUUGAUAAUAUCUAGUGCUGGUAAGAAUGUGGUGAAAUGUUUAUGCUUGUAUGCCUUUGGAGGCAACAUAAAUUAGUGCGGCUCUUAAGAGAAAUUUGCCUUAUCUUUUAAUAUUUAUAGUUACUGUCUAAUGACUCAGCAAUCAUGCUUAUAGGCAUUUAUCCUAUAAAUCUAUUCAGGCAAGUGAGAGGUGAUACAUGCCCCAGUUUGUAUAUUGUAGUAUUUCAAAAAAUGAAGGGAAAAAGCUAGAAACAGUAAACAUUUUACCAUUUUUUUUGAAUAAAACUCACAACUAUUGAAGCUAAUUUCUUUUAUGCUUAUUGAAGAGAGAGGAUUUGGGAAUGAGAGGAUGAUUUUUCUUCUAAAAUAUCCUUUAUAUACAUAUAUUCUGUCAAAUGGGCUGCAGCCUUUUAUUACUGUAGAUAAUUGUAUUAUUUGUUAUUGAUCUUUCUUCAGAUGACAACAUUUAUUAUUUUUACAGAAAUUGUGUAAAUGAGGAAAACUGUAAAAAGAUUUUUCCUCUCAGUUUAUUUUGCGGCAAGUGUCAGUCUUUACUGUGAAUGUAAAUUUCAGGGUUAAAAUUAAUAAUCCUAGAAGGAGAAGUGCAAAUCAUACAACCUCCUCUCUUACCCAGGUAAAAGUUUAAGGAAAACACAAAUGAAUCACGCAUUUCUGUAUAAUCUGUGCUUUUGUCAAAAGGUUGCCAUGACUCAUUUAUGACUUUCCAUAGUUUUAAAACCAGUGUUUUUAACCAUAGAAAAUCUACUUCAUGGUCCUAUUAUGACAACUGUUGAGUCAAUAAUAGACUCUUUAGUUCAUGCAUGGAUGUUUUUGUAGAAAUAAACCAAGUACAACUGUCCCUUGCUAAUACUCCAUGAAGCGGAAUCCUAAACAAAGAAAGAGAGAGAUUAUAAAACCAAGUUCUCCUACAUGCAUUACUUUGGGUGCUAUAUACUGUGUGGGGUGCCAGAGAUACCACCUCAUUUGAUUGUCAUAGCUCCCUGAAGGAUCAGCUACAGCUCAAGGAUCAAGUAGCUGCUAAGAAUGCAAAGGACUAGAUUUGAACCCAAAUUCAUAUGAUUUCAAAUAUCACUUACAGGUCCAAAUGACCAGGCAGUCCUGACUUAAUUCAGUGCAACAUCUGUUCUUUCUUUUAGCUAGCCCCACAGUGAUCAGGAUCAGAUCUUUGGGACAGUAUUCUGUGAAAUAAAUGCUUUGCUACUCAGUUAUAAGCAGCGUACCCUGGCAUUGAGAUAGAAACAAUAUUUAUGGAUCAUUCUAAUGUAUCGUUUUAACCAGUGGUCUUAUUGUGGUCCUACGUAUGAUUGAAAGAAAAGAGAUAGGAGUUCCUAAUAUGACUUGGCGUAAGAAACCUGACUAGUAUCCAUGAGGAUGCAGGUUUGAUCCCUGGUCUCGCUCAGUGCAUUCAUGAUCUGGCAUUGCAAUAAGCUGUGGUGUAGAUUGCAGACGCAGCCCUAGUCCUGUGUUGCUGUGGCAUACAUAGGCCAGAAGCUGCAGCCCUGAUUUGACCCCUAACCUGGGAACUUCCAUGUGCUACAGGUGUGGCCUUGAGAGCAAUAAAUAAAUAAAUGAAUAAAUAAAAAGUCCUCUGGAUUUCCAACAUUGGUAAUAAUAAACACCCCUUUAAAAAGUGGGCAUUACCUGUGGGUAUUCUUUUGAAGUCAUUCUUCUUUAGAGGGAUUGCAUUAAAUGAAUUGACUUUGACUUGGCCACGAAGAGAGGAAAACUUGCUUCAAUAAUUCAGAAUAUUUCAGGAGCUUAAUUCCUCAAGAAAAUAUUUUAUUUGCCUCAUUUUUCCUUUGAGGUCCCUUUCAAGCUGCAUACUUUAUUUUAGCUCUCAAUUCAUUUCAUUUUGUGUAGAAAGAAUAGUAAUAAUAAAAAAAGGACACUGCAGAAAUUGAGAUAAUACAGCUGUUUCUACUACCAUGUCUUUAUGUCUCUUUAAAAGCAACAAAAGGCUCAUAAACAUUAGAAUUAACUGAGAGUGAAAUCCCAUCUCUUAGCCAUAUAUCACAUUUCUUAUAUCAUAGCACUUACUUAAAAGUCAUGUUACUGUUUUCUUUAACUCAGAAGCUCUGACUCAAGAAUAAUAUGCCCCUAACAUGACUGAUGUGUCUCUUAUAACUACAUAGGGUAAAAGCUUAAACUAUUGUGUGUGCCUGGAGUUGCUGCUCUAUCAUCUUAGUUAAUUUUCUUCAUGUCCCAUGUUUUGUUGUCUCUCAUAAGUGACUGUAUUUAAGAAAAAGAGAAAAUUGGGUGUGGUUAUUUAUGCAGGUCCUAUGGUUAAUACACUCCUAAAGUAGGUACCUGCUAUCUUUAUUACUGCAAACACCAGAUUCUAUGGUUCAUGUUUGGAAAGAAAAGAAUAAACAAUUUUAGCAUACAAAAUUGAGAUGAAUUGCAACUCUAUGGUUUGAGCAAUUUGAAUUCUUAAGAUACAUGUCCUAGUUAUAUAUUGAGAGGUUUAUUAAUUAAACCCAGCUUGAUCUCUGGACCUCAUGUGCUAAGAACUUUAAUUUGAAGGCUUGCCUACUUUGCUUUUGAUGCCACUUAGGGUCCAAAAUUAUUGUACUGAAAUAGUUCUCAAACCCUGAUUCAACUUUAAUGAGGAGAAAUCACAUUAUUAGAUCAUCCAAACACUUCUAUUUACCAGUCACAUCUUGUCACAGCUUUAGUAGCAGCUGUCCACAGAUAUAAGUUUUCACAAAUGAAAAAUCAGGAUAGGAAAGGCAGGUGUCACCUAGAAAAUCUUGAACUCUUUCCAAGAGGCAUUUUGUUGAAUUGCUAAACUGAUAAACUUAGGUUCUCUCACAAGGCUCCAGGGAGGAGCUCAUCAAGCACGUGGUAGCUCCCCGCCCCCAACAGCCAUCAUUAAGUAGAAACCCCUAAGUUUAGAAAAAUAUAAAAUGUUCCUAUCAGUCACGAUUCUUAAGAAAGCCCAUUCGAAUUGUGAUUAAGUUAAAUAGGAAGCCCCUGAAAUUCAAGUCUGCAUAUUUUUUUCUUAGAGCAAAUGUUUUUAAUUUAAUCAAAGAAGAAAAUGAAAAAGACAUGUCUUUCAUAUUUACCAAUGCCUUCAUUUGUUUUCAGAUGCCUCCUCCUCCUACCUCUUAAAUUCAGAUAUUUCUUGAGGAUCCUCAUUGUAGGUGCCUCUUUGAAAGGCUUUCACUUCCUACUCAACUAGCAUCUCUGCAUACAGCACUCCAGGUCAUAAUCUUUGCUCUUUUUGGGAUCCACAUUCUGAAUAUUUAUUGGCUAUGGAUCCAAUUCUGCCACUAAUUUUACUUUUUAAAUUACUCAUGAAGCAGCUCCUGCUAUAAGCACUUUACGUGCAUUUGCUCAUUUAAGUCUUACCACAAAUAGUAAAGAGUACAUUAUGGUUCUUGAUGUACAGAAAGGGAAACAGAAACUUAAAGAAAGGUUAAGAGGAAGCUGCUCCAAACUGACCCAGCUAGUGAGAGACAGAGCUGGGACUUCAGCCUAGGUGGUUCUUCCUCGAAAGCCUGUGAGCUUGACCACUGGGCUGUUGGAAAUCACUUUUCUCACUCUGGUUUGAAACCUGAGGUGAAUCUUUGACAUUUUCUUUUAUUGUUUACUUGCUAGACUACAGGCAAAAUAAAGAUACAAUUUUGGGAGUUCCUGCUGCGGCUCAGCAGAAACAAAUCCCACCAGUAUCCGUGAGGAGGAUGUGGGUUUGAUCCCUGGCCUCACUUGGUGGGUUAAGGAACCAGUAUUGUCGUGAGCUAUGGUGUAGGUUGCAGACAUAGUUUGGAUCUGGCAUUGCUGUGGCUGUGGUGUAGGCCAGCAGCUGCAGUUCCAAUUAAACCCCUAGCCUGUACCUCCAUAUGCCACCGGUGUGGCUCUAAAAAGAAAAAAAAAAAAAAA
rnacentral:lncRNA from 1 species